GACGAACGCUGGCGGCGUGCCUAAUACAUGCAAGUAGAACGCUGAAGGAGGAGCUUGCUUCUCUGGAUGAGUUGCGAACGGGUGAGUAACGCGUAGGUAACCUGCCUGGUAGUGGGGGAUAACUAUUGGAAACGAUAGCUAAUACCGCAUAAUAGCAGUUGUUGCAUGAUAACUGUUUGAAAGGUGCAAUUGCACCGCUACCAGAUGGACCUGCGUUGUAUUAGCUAGUUGGUGGGGUAACGGCUCACCAAGGCGACGAUACAUAGCCGACCUGAGAGGGGGAUCGGCCACACUGGGACUGAGACACGGCCCAGACUCCUACGGGAGGCAGCAGUAGGGAAUCUUCGGCGAUGGACGGAAGUCUGACCGAGCAACGCCGCGUGAGUGAAGAAGGGUUUCGGAUCGUAAAGCUCUGUUGUAAGAGAAGAACGAGUGUGAGAGUGGAAAGUUCACACUGUGACGGUAUCUUACCAGAAAGGGACGGCUAACUACGUG
rnacentral:rRNA from 1 species